CCUACGGGAGGCAGCAGUGAGGAAUAUUGGUCAAUGGACGAAAGUCUGAACCAGCCAAGCCGCGUGAAGGAUGACUGCCCUAUGGGUUGUAAACUUCUUUUAUAUGGGAAUAAAAUGUUCCACGUGUGGGGUUUUGUAUGUACCAUACGAAUAAGGAUCGGCUAACUCCGUGCCAACAGCCGCGGUAAUACGGAGGAUCCGAGCGUUAUCCGGAUUUAUUGGGUUUAAAGGGAGCGUAGGUGGUUUGUUAAGUCAGUUGUGAAAUGUUGGGGCUCAACCGUAAAAUUGCAGUUGAUACUGGCAGUCUUGAGUAUAGUAGAGGUGGGCGGAAUGCAUGGUGUAGCGGUGAAAUGCUUAGAUAUCACGAAGAACACCGAUUGCGAAGGCAGUUGACUGGACUACAACUGACGCUGAGGCGCGAAAGUGUGGGUAGCAAACAGGAUUAGAUACCCGUGUAGUC
rnacentral:rRNA from 1 species